rnacentral:rRNA from 1 species
GACGAACGCUGGCGGCGUGCUUAACACAUGCAAGUCGAGCGGUAAGGCCCUUUCGGGGGUACACGAGCGGCGAACGGGUGAGUAACACGUGGGUGACCUGCCCUCAGCUCUGGGAUAAGCCUGGGAAACCGGGUCUAAUACUGGAUAUGACUCCAUGACGCAUGUUGUGGGGUGGAAAGCCUUGUGCGGCUGAGGAUGGGCCCGCGGCCUAUCAGCUUGUUGGUAGGGUGAGGCCUACCAAGGCGACGACGGGUAGCCGGCCUGAGAGGGCGACCGGCCACACUGGGACUGAGACACGGCCCAGACUCCUACGGGAGGCAGCAGUGGGGAAUCUUGCGCAAUGGGCGAAAGCCUGACGCAGCGACGCCGCGUGAGGGAUGACGGCCU